GGCGGGCAGCCGCCUCGGCGCCGGCGCUGUCAAAGUUUACCGGGGAAGUGUUGAAAUUAGACUUUGAUGUCGACUUCUUGUUAAUAAUUGGACGUGGCAGGGCGGAGAUACCGUAAAUGCUCUCCCAUGGAGCACGCGAUUGAAGUUUAUCAUAGAAUUGAAAGGGUGGUUGGGGUUGGAAGGAACUUGAAGGAUCAUAAAAGCAACCCGUCUGCCGUGGCCAGGGACACCUUCCACUAGAUCAGGUUGCUCAGAGCCCCAUCUAACCGGGCCUUGUUCACUUCCAGGGGUGGGGCAUCCACAUCGUCUUUGGAAAACCUGUGUCAGUGCCUCAGAAACCUCACGGAGGGACAAUUUUACUGCAAAACAUAAAUGACCAAGAUCAUCAAAUCCAGUCCUCUCCAGCUGCAGGCACAUAUAUGAUGGACAGUAAGUUCUUGAAGGUGGAGCGAACAUCUUUUCCCACCAGUCCCAGAGCACAGUUAUAUACAGACAGACAUGAAAAAGUAUCUGCCCUCGUGAGGAAAAGGAACAUAUGGAACGACCUCAACCAUGUUCAUAAAACUGACUCUGAAUUUCAACCUGUGCAUUUUCCUCUAAAUUUGAGUGUUCUUCACACAGAAGAAAAGAGAAUCAUGUCCUGGAGCUAUCCCUCUGAAAAAUCAGAAAAUAUUAGCAAUUGGAGUAAACUGAGCAGUAGUUUCUUAUUCAAUUGUUAAGGUAAAACUGGAACUCCCUUUUGCCUCCCCCCAUCCCCCAAAACCAGCAAAUGCAACCAGGAAACCUAAAUACAUUCAAUAUGGAUAUUCUCUGCUGGAGUCAGGGGAACACCAACUGGGCUAUUAAAACUAUUGAUGAAGAAACAAUGCCAGGGCCCCAGACAGGAGGUCACCUUUUCUGGGGACCAAAUGGAUUGUGGGCAGGAAGUAAGCCCCCUGGUCCACUUGGCAAAUUAAUUAUG